GACUCCUUGGCGCAAUUGGUAGCGCGUUCGCCUCCAGAGCGAAAGGUUAAGUGUUCGAGUCACUUAGGGGUCA